rnacentral:rRNA from 1 species
AACGAACGCUGGCGGCAUGCCUAACACAUGCAAGUCGAACGGAUGUAGCAAUACAUUAGUGGCGCACGGGAGAGUAACGCGUGGGAAUUUACCUCAUAGUUCGGAAUAACACCGGGAAACUGGUGCUAAUACCGGAUACGCCCUUCGGGGGAAAGAUUUAUCGCUAUGAGAGAAGCCCGCGUUGGAUUAGCUAGUUGGUGGGGUAAUGGCCUACCAAGGCGACGAUCCAUAGCUGGUCUGAGAGGACGAUCAGCCUCACUGGGACUGAGACACGGCCCAGACUCCUACGGGAGGCAGCAGUGGGGAAUAUUGGACAAUGGGGGAAACCCUGAUCCAGCAAUGCCGCGUGGGUGAUGAAGGUCUUCGGAUUGUAAAGCCCUUUUGGCGGGGACGAUGAUGACGGUACCCGCAGAAUAAGCUCCGGCUAACUUCGUG